GGAAUCUUGGGCAAUGGGCGAAAGCCUGACCCAGCGACGCCGCGUGAGGGAUGAAGGCCUUCGGGUCGUAAACCUCUGUCGGGAGGGAAGAAUGGCGGUAGGGCGAAUAGUCCUGCCGUUUGACGGUACCUCCAAAGGAAGCGCCGGCUAACUCCGUGCCAGCAGCCGCGGUAAUACGGAGGGCGCAAGCGUUGUUCGGAAUCACUGGGCGUAAAGCGCGUGUAGGCGGCCGGGCAAGUCGGAUGUGAAAUCCCGAGGCUCAACCUCGGAACUGCAUUCGAAACUGCUCGGCUCGAGUCCCGGAGAGGAUGGCGGAAUUCCCGGUGUAGGGGUGAAAUCCGUAGAUAUCGGGAGGAACACCAGUGGCGAAGGCGGCCAUCUGGACGGUGACUGACGCUGAGACGCGAAAGCGUGGGGAGC
rnacentral:rRNA from 1 species